UACAGAGGUCUCAAGCGUUGUUCGGAUUCAUUGGGCGUAAAGGGUGCGUAGGUGGCGCCAUAAGUCAGGUGUGAAAUCUCGGGGCUUAACUCCGAAACUGCAUUUGAUACUGUGGUGCUUGAGGACUGGAGAGGAGACUGGAAUUCACGGUGUAGCAGUGAAAUGCGUAGAUAUCAAGUGGAACACCAGUGGCGAAGGCGAGUCCCUGGACAACUUCUGACACUGAGGCACGAAAGCUAGGGGAGCAAACGGG
rnacentral:rRNA from 1 species